CUCCCAGAGGUUCCGACCACCGUGUGCUCUCCAUUCCCUAACCUUGGUUGGGCCAUUGCACUCACUGGGACUGCCGAGGUCUUUUUCCCUAGUGUGAUGGCAAGUUCCAAAGGGAGACAGAAAGAUAGUUACUACUCAAACAUGCAGCCAAAUUAAGCCUUCGUAAUCAACAGUUUGUUUUAAUUAAGCAAAAGAGCUCUCGUCAAAUUCAACACGUACAUAUCACGUGCACCUAACUAAACUUAAGUAUUUUUACAGUAAGCGAAAGUCUAGUAAAAAUAAAAUAAAUGACAAGAAAGGAUUAAGUUUGCGCCCUGUGGAAAAGAAUAAUUAACGCUCUGUAAAAGAAAAGAUUAAUUAACGCUCUGUAAAAGAAAGGAUUAAUUAACGCCCUGAAAAAGAAAAGAGUUAGAUAAAGAUCCUCCCCUGAGACUUCCAACCGUUGAAGGUGGUGAUCCUGGUGGUGUGACGAAGAGUUUGCCUCUGUGAGACCUGGAGGUAUCUCUCGAGGUACAUUUCACCGUUUGGCGCUCAACCCGUCGCAGACAAAGAAGCUGCCAUGGUGAAAAACCCCAGCUGAAAGUUGAACCAAUCUCAUCUUUUGAAGAGGCGCUCAACCCGUCGGAGACUAAGAAGCUGCCUGAGAUUUUCGUUCAACUCCAGGAGAAUAUUUCUCAAUCAAUCUUUCCAACCCGUCGGCGGGAGAGAUUGAUCGGCUUCGCGAGUUAGUUGGCUCAACCCGUCGCAGACAAAGAAGCUCAACAAAACUGGCGGCUGGUGCGCUCAACCCGUCGAAGACAAAGAAGCUGCACCUGAAUUAAGUUGGUAACUGAAUCAAUCCUUUAUUUGAAGUUGGCGCUCAACCCGUCGGAGACUAAGAAGCUGCCAAGGAUUUACAUCCAGCACCAGGAGUUACUCCAAACAGUCUUUCCGACCCGUCGGUGGAAAAAAUGAGUUUGGAACGCAAAGCUAGUUGGCUCAACCCGUCGAAGACAAAGAAGCUCAACUACAGCAGUGAGACGAGUGCAAGCGUUGUCUCCGAAAAGACGUACAAACACUGUCUGAUUUUCCUCUUCCAAGCGGCAACUAUUUAUAGGGGUUGCGUGACGUCACUGGUUCUGUGGCCUACGUGACUAACAAGAAAUAUUGUUUAAAGUUGAUAAACAAUGCGUUAAUAUCUUCGAAGGAUUGACAGGAAGUUUGCAAACGUCUCUGGGUGAUGUCGAGAUGUGAUAGAAUCGACGUAUUUAUUCCUCAAUCGCCAAUUAAUUAAUAAAAGCGUUUCCACGCGGAAUAAAAGAGCUUUCUUCGGGUUUA